AUAUCCUGUUGGCGUUGAAAUUCCAAUGAAUUUGAUCUAGGUUAGAAACUGGCACUUUCUCUAUUAGCAAGAAAUCUUGAAAGAAAACUGAAUAAUGACAUACGUACAUUAUCCCUGUAGGGACCAUCAUCAUAAAUCAAGAUUGACUUUCUAGCGUAUAUGAUGAGCUCGAUGAUGUUGGUGAACUGCUCGCCAAAACCUAAAGCCUUGAAGAGGAGAGAUUUCGAGAUUGAAAGAUAGAAAUCUACAAUGUCGAACAGGGUGAACCUGCAGCCUAUUUCAUUCUCAAUGUUGCGGAACCAGUUGAUUUUUGUUGUGCAUUCCUGUAGUCCUUGGAGUUGAUAAUAUUAAGAAUACGCUUGCUAGAAAUGCCUUUCGCGCCCUUAGAGAGUUCUCAUCAACUCCAUUCAAGAAUAGAAAGUUGGGCUUAUGAGUCAUAUGCGUAAUAUGGCAGUGGGCUUGUCGGGGUGGACCACGCGAUCCUCCAUCUUUAGAAGGAUGGCGAGCUCUUUCGCAUCAGUGUUUAUGUCAUUAUAUGUAGAUAUGUUGGUUUUCUUAUGUGUUUUGAUGACUGAAUUUGUAAGAAGUCUUGCGUACGUGGAAGUAUUAUUUCCUAUAUGUUCUUUGUUUUAUCUGCAAGGAUGUGUACAUUAGAGGAUUGCUUCAUGCGAUGUAGUUGCUUAAAGAAUUAGAACGAUGCUGAAACCUUACCAUCAUUAUUGUAUUCAUUAAGUCAGCUUCUAAGCUCUCGAGGUAUUUUAUCUGUGGCAAGAACGUUCGGAAUUUAAAGCCGAACCUAGCUGUGGUGGAUGGGUUCACGAACAAAAGAAGGCCCCCAGUGCAAACGCUUGUUGACCUUUCCUGUUUUCUCGUCGAGGAACGUUAAAUACAAUUUUCUUAGUGGUAUUUGGAUAUUUCUCAAAGUGUAUGACAGCGGUUGCUUCUCCAUUGUAAACUGUUUAUUCGAUGUUUGUGGAUUGAGCUCAACUGAAUUUGGGGCACUUGCACGAGUGGGUGGACAAGUGUGGCACUCUGUAAUUUUGGUAGGGUUUAUGUACAUUAUUUAGUUACAGUUUAGUCUUUAUUUCUGUCUGUAUUCCUAUGACCAUCUAUUAAGAUAUGAUGUUGGUGGCUAUUCUGUGUCUAGGAAGUAGGGUGUGAUUUGAUAGCGACAUCAGUUCGUUGGUGUGCGUUUACACGAACUUUAAUCAAACUGUUUUAUAUAUAUAUAUAUAUAUGUAUAUAGAUGUGUGUGUGUGUGUGUGUGUGCAUAUUAUGUGUGUGUAUGUGUGUGUGUGAUGUACAAAGUAUAGACGUUUUCUUGAUGCAGUCUCAAUUAAAGAUGGGAUAACUAUGUUGCAAGGAUCAAUGAUGAAAGACCACCGAAAAUUCUAAUUUUUGGUCAACUUCAGAUUCAAGGAUGAGCAUAUUAGGAUAAAAAUAUCAGAAUUUAAGGAAUGUGCUGCUGACAGUUUCAGGUAGAGGAAAAUCUGUGAAAAUGUAAUAUGGAAACAUAUCAAAGCAAGCUCUAAACAUCUAACCGAAUUAAGGCAAGCUCAAAUAAAUGCAGUCUCCUUCCAACGUUUGUGUGGGAAGGAUGCGCUCUGGUUUGCAAAAGCAAAGCAAGUCUAGUGUACCGCAGUAGAUACAAACGCUAAAAUAUGGAGUAAAGAAACAAAGUAAAAUUCUUUGACCUCAUGUAUUUCAUAUGACGAGAGAGUCUAUCUAUCUAUCUAUCUAUCUAUCUAUCUAUCUAUCUAUCUAUCUAUCUAUCUAUCUAUCUAUCUAUCUAUCUAUCUAUCUAUCUAUCUGUCUGUCUGUCUGUCUGUCUGUCUGUCUGUCUGUCUAUCUAUCUAUCUAUCUAUCUAUCUAUCUAUUUAUCUAUCUGUCUGUCUGUCUGUCUGUCUGUCUGUCUAUCUAUCUAUCUAUCUAUCUAUCUAUAUAUAUAUAUAUAUAUAUCUACACACACAUACACACACAUUUACACGCACACAAAUAUGCGCACACACACACGUACAUGCAUUCAUAUCUGUAAUCACCAGAAGUUACAAAGUGACUCAAGGGGUCAAGACUUCAAUUUGUCUUCUUUUGAAUCGGAAUUGCUUACGCAAUGUUUCGCCAGAGUGCCGGCUAUAAAUCUAUGGACAUUUAAAAUUGUUGUUGAUUAUCUCUCAGGUAAGGACUGAACACCUAUGCACAACAAAACACCUAUGCACAAAGAUAUUCCAGAUAUAGCAGAUCCCUCUUUUAUUCAGGCAUACACCAUAUGUCUUCCUAUUGCUUUUAAAUCGAAUAUGGAUGCUAUUUCUAGCAGGUCACUGACUCGUCCAAAAUAUUAGUGUUGGCCUGUUUGCUCUUUCUGUAUGUAUUUUUGAUAGAACUGGCUCCCAUGUAUACAAAAAUCGUUCAUAUGUACCUACACACAUGUGGAUAUAUUUAUGCACAUGUGUGUUUUGUGUUACAUGUGUGAGCAAACAGAAACUAAAGAUGGAAUACGACGAUACAUGAAGUUCGUACUGUAGCAUGGUACAAUUUCAGCAACUCCUCUCAUCUACUCAUGCUAGUCCCUUUGCUCUGGCUCGUCUUUUUCAUCUCCUGAUAUUUUCAUGUUUCUGCAACUUUAAACUCAUCUUUCUCUUUCUCCUCCUCUGUACACCCGGUAAAAUCCAAUCAUUUUGACAGAAAAAAACCAUUCUUCAAAUCAUACUCCUACACAGAAUACACACAUUCAGACACAUAUACACUCUCUCUCUCACACACACACACGCACACAUACAUAUAUACGCGUCGUGUAUGUAUUCAUAUAUAUAUAUAUAUAUAUAUAUAUAUAUGCAUGCAUAUAUAUAUAUAUAUAUAUACAUAUAUAUAUGAAUACGCAUACAUGCAUAUAUAUCAGCACAAACACAUAUACACAUAUACACAUACACACAUAUAACACAUAUAUAUAUAUAAACAGAGAGAGAGAGAGAGAGAGAGUCGGGGGAGAUAUAGCGUAGGAGAGAGGCGCAUACAUUCCUCUCUCGUCUAUCUUUCAAUCUGUCUGUUUGGCUACCUCUGAUGUGUCUUUUUCCACCCCCGCUCUCUCUUCCUCUCUCUAGAUAUUUACAUGCACACAGUAUGCGUGAGCGUGUCUAGGUAUGUGUGGGCAUGUGUGUGUCUAUGAGUAUGUAUUUUAUCAUGCCGACCUGGUAAUAUUUAUCAAGUUCUUCGCCGCCAUUGCAUUGAUGUCGACGUUGAGUAGUGGAAUGGCAAAACCAGCUGGCAGCCCACUCAGCCGUGACUUCUUCACUGAAUCGAUAUUCAUCAACCGUUUAUACACAACAUCACAUAUAGUCAAUAGUAAAAUCAUAGCUAUACAGACACACACAUAUACACACAGGGAUAUAUAUACACAUACAGAUAUGCAUGUAUAUGCUGACAUACAGCCUACUUUUGUGUAAGGUGUCUUGUUUUUCAUAUAUGCGUGCAUGUGUGUCUGCAUGUAUAUGUGUAUGCACACGUGCAUAUUUGUGGAUGUAUGCGUGUGUAUGUUUAUACAUAGAUAGCGAAGGGGAGGGGGCUGUGAGAGGAAUAGAUAUGAAAACAUGCUGAGUGUUAAAUAGACAGACACACAUAGAUAGACACAUACAUAUUUAUGCGCAGUUAAAUUCAUACACGCAUACACAAACACCUACACACUCAUCACCACCAUUUAUAUAUAUAUAUAUAUAUAUAUAUAUAUAUAAUGUAUGUAUAUGUAUAUGUGUGUGUCUUUAUGCGUCCAUACACACACAUAUGCACACAUAUAUGUAUAAACUUAUGCACAUGUGUAUAUGUGUGUGUAUGAGUGUGUAUGUGUGUGUGUGCGCGUGUAUAUAUAUUAAUAACUUCUCAGCAUCCUCUUAACCGGAAGCAAGCAUGUCUUGCUGACGUGAAGAGCUGAAUUGCCAUGGCAAUGCAUGGGAUUUAGAAAUAUGGACAUCCCCAAGCUAUUCACUUCUCCAUUCGUCCGUUUGACCAUUAGUUCGUGAGUUUGACCCUAAGAGCGUACCAUUAGACAAGAGGAAAUGUCUGCCGAAAGAGAAAUGAUUCGACCCUUUCAUUAUCAAAAAGGACAUAAAUAGAAAGGAAGUGUUGCUGUUGAUGAUGAUGAUGAUGAUGAUGAUGAUGAUGAUGAUGAUGAUGAUGAUGAUGAUGAUGAUGGUGGUGAUGAUGAUGAUGAUGAUGAUGAUGACGAUGUUGAUGAUGAUGACGAUGUUGAUGAUGAUGACAAUGACGAUGUAUUAUUAUUAUUAUUAUUAUUAUUAUUAUUAUUAUUAUUAGUGGUUUUUGUUCUUGACAGAGGUAGUAGUACUUAUAGAGGUGGAGUCGGAUGUAGUAGUUUUCACGGUUACAAUAAUGACAGUAGAUAUAGCCGUUGUUUUGGAUGAUGGUGCUGUUAACGUUGGUUAUAUUAAUUAACGUUGUAAUUAAUAUAACGUUGGUUAUAUUAAUUAUUGUGGAGGCGCGUGGCUUAGUCGUUAGGGUGUCAGCAUCAUGAUCGUAAGAUUGUGAUUUCGUUUCCUGGAACGGGCGACGCGUUGUGUUCUUGUACAAAACACUUCAUUUCACGUUGCUCCAGUCCACUCAACUAGCAAAAAUGAGUAACGCUGCGAUGGACUGGCGUCCCGUCCAGCUGGGGAACAUAUACGCCAUUGAAACCGGGAAAUCAGGCCCAUGAGCCUGGCUAGGCUUUAAAAGGGCGCAUUUAUUUUGUGGAGGCGCAAUGGCCCAGUGGUUAGGGUAGCGGAUUCGCGGUCGGAGGAUCGCGGUUUCUAUUCCUAGACCGGUGUUGUGUGUGUUUAUUGAGCGAAAACACCUAAAAGCUCCUCGAGGCUCAGGCGGGGUAGGGUGGGGGGUCGACCCCUGUUGUACUUUUUGCCACAACUUUCUCUCGCUCUUUCUUCCUGUUUCCUGAGUAACGCUGCGAUGGACUGCCGUCCCGUCCAGUUGGGGGUGGGGGAACACAUACGCCACAGAAACCUGGAAAAGGGCCCAUGAGCCUGGCUAGGCUUGAAUAGAGCAACGUUUAUCGUUUUUUAUAUGAAUUAUUAUUGUAGUUAGAAUUAAGGCAAGAUGUUAUGUUGGUGUUAGUUGUGGUGGUAAUGGCGGUUAUGAUGGUGGUGUUACUAUUAAUUAUGGUAGUGAGUGUAGUAUCACAGGCGAUAGGAAGUCAUGAUAACGAUCGUAGCUAUAGUGGAGAUAAUGGUAGAUGCGGUGGUUCUAGUAGUUGAUGUACAUAGUGAUGGUGGUAGUUACAUUGUUACUGUUUGUGGUAUUGGUGAUUGGUGUAUGGUUAUAGUUAUGGUGAUGACAAUAAUGCUAAGCAUAAGCCGUUCACAUCGCAUGUACGAAGUCCCGGGUUCGAUUCCGAUGCGUGUCACCAUGGGUAAAUAUAAUUUUCGAGGGUCUCCAUUCAAAUCAUACCUCGAGAGAAAAAUUAAGUAGAUGGAAACUGUGCAAUAGCUUACGGGAUGGAUUGUAUCUGUGUCACACUGAUUGUGCAUGAAGAUUAAGUUAAGGGUACAUGUGCCUGUGGAAUGCUCAGCCACUUACAAAUUAAUUCAAGAGCAAAUAAUUGAUCGAACAAUGAAACAUUCCUGAUCGGAAAUUCUGACGAGAUCAAUUUAUUACAACUGUAUUUAAUUUGAACACGUGGUUUGCUUCUGGUAACUUACCUUUAAAAACUAAAUAAAGUUGAUAAACAUGCAUAUUUAAUUUUGAAUUAUUUUUUCUCUUAGUAAAUACUAACCAAGUCCAGAAUGUCAAAUAUGAGUACGGUAUCUUGAGGGACAUUUGGUCGCUGCAUCUAGCAAGUCGAAAAUCUAUGUAGAAAUCUCUACAUGAUCUUAAUAUUCCUGGCAGUGUUAGGGUGAAUGAAUCUACUUUAAGUAUGCGCUACUUUUCUUUAAUAGAACAGAACAAGCAGUUUUCUUCUGCCUGGUGGUUAGGGAAGAAUAUGUUUUGUUGUGGGAAAAGAGACUGACACUAUAUGCUCAAGCCCUCAUACACUUUUUGAAGUUCCACUUGGAAAUAUGGUGAGGUGGGAUAGAGAAAUGUUCUCUUCAAGUAAAUUUCACUAAAGAUAACAAACGCGGUUUGAAUGGAGGAAUAGAUCAGAUUUCUAUAGAUGAAAGAAUAGCAAUUGGAAAGAGGGCAUGUCAUUUGUGCUGUUCAUUUAUUGUCCCUAAUAUGAGGUCUUGCUGUCUCUUGUUCCACAUUGCCCCUAGUAUGAAGUCCUCCUGUCUCUUGUGUCAGGAUAAUUGUAUCAUCCACGCAAACAUGUAUUUGUAAAUUAUGAUAACUUAUAUUUUAUCCCUUCCUCCUUCUCACCUGAUUUGUGAAACCCCUAAACUACAUUUAACCUGUCCUUUUAAUGUCUACUUCAUGCAACGACACUAUGGCAAACUUAAUCAUGAUCUUCGUCCUCUUCAUCUCCCUUCUCCGUCAUCUCCUCCUCCUCCUCCUCAUCCUCAUCAUCAUCAAUAUCUUCAUCAUCAUCAUCAUCAUCAUCAUCAUUAUUAUUAUUAUUAUUAUUAUUAUUAUUAUUAUUAUUAUUAUUAUUAUUAUUAUUAUUAUUAUUAUUAUUAUCAUUAUUAUUAUGUGAAUGUACGAACGUUGUGGUUAGGGGAAUUUGAUUGAGGUUAAUAAGGUCGUGAGUUCGAUCCCCGGUGGCGCAUUAUAUCCUCCAGCAAAUUACUUUAUUUCACUUUGUGGCAGUCCACUUAACUGGCAAAAAUGAGUAGCAGGGCGGCGAGCUGGCAGAAUCAUUAGCACGCCUGGCAAAAGGCUUAGCGCAUUUCGUUUAUCUUUACGUUCUGAGUUCAGAUGCCGCAGGGUCGUCUUUUCCUUUCAUCUUUUAGAGGUCGAUAAAAUUCAUACCAGUCGAGCCCUGUGGUCGAUGUAAUUGACUUAGUCCUUCCUCCGAAAUUGCGGGCCAUGUGCAAGAAUUUGAAACUAUCAUCAUCAUCAUCAUCAUCAUCAUCAUCAUCAUCAUUAUUAUUAUUAUUAUUAUUAUUAUUAUUAUUAUUAUUAUUAUUAUUAUUAUUAUUAUUAUUAUUAUUAUUAUUAUUAUUCAGUAGUUUUAUUUUUAUAGCGUGCUUUCACUUCACUACCGAGCGCAGCUCUGUGUGCCUUGGGUAUGUGCUGUGAUUUGUUGUGAUGCUCUGAUGAUUAUUGUAUGGAAAGUGUUCUGCGUAGGAUGUGUGCAGUGCCUAGUAGUGCAAUUUUCUGUAUGUUAUAUGUGUUUGUAAGUCCUGGUGUUUUUGUUAUGUAUUUGUCUGAAUAUUUUUUUUAUCAUACCUAAUGCACCUACUAUUAUAGGAAUUGUUUCUGUUUUCAGAUUCCACAUUCUAGUUAUCUCUAUUUCCAGGUCUUUGUAUUUUGAGCGUUUCUCCAUUUCUUUUAGAGACACGUUGGCAUCAGCCGGUAUUGAUACAUCAAUUAGAAAGCAUUUUUUUCUUCAUGAUCUCUGACAACUAUAUCUGGUCUGUUGGCCUUAAUUUCUCUAUCUGUGUGUAUCGGCAUAUCCCAGAGUAUGGUUGCUUUCUCGUUUUCUGUGACCUUUUCUGGUGUGUGCCUAUACCAUCUUUUUUCUGUUGUUAUUCCAUAAUGUUGGCAUAGCUUCCAAUGUAUGUAGGUUCCAACUCUGUCAUGUCUGUGAAUAUAUUCCUUCUUAGCCAGGACUGGGCAGCUAGAGAUAAUAUGAUUCAUUGUUUCUUGUCCAUCUCCACAUAUUCUGCAGUUACUUGUAAUAUUUCUUUUCAUUACAUGUUUUUAGUAAUUUCUGGUGGGGAGGCUUUGGUCUUGUGCUGCAAUUAAAAAUCCCUCUGUUUCUGCUUUGAGUCCUGAGCUUCUCAACCAUUGCUGGGAUUUUUCUUUGUCUAUUUCUCUUGCGUUUAGUUUAGUGCAGUAUUUACCAUGAAGGGGCUUUUCUUGCCAUCGUUUUAUCAUGGUUCGUUGCUGUUCUAUUUUUAGUUUGGAUUUCAUUUGUUUUAUAGCUUUUGUUGUUUCUUCAUCUUCUUCUUCUUCUUCAUGUUUAUUAGGUGGUAUGAUUUCUUGUUUGUAUUUGUCAGCUUCCUUAAAUACUGAGAACAGUUUUUUGUUUUGCUCGUGUUUUGCCGCUAUCUGGAUCAGUUUUCCUUCCUUCUGAAGUAGAUAUUUUUGCAGUCCUAUGGUGGUUAUUUUAUAGUAGUUUUCCAGCUGUAUAAGACCUCUACCACCUUCUAUACGUUGUAUAUAUAGUCUUUCUAUGUCAGAUUUUGGGUGAUGCAUCCUAGAUCCUGUCAUUAUUUUUCUUGUUUUCCUAUCUAUUUUGGUCAGUUCAUUUCGUGUCCAGUUAAGGAUAUUAUUUCGUGUCCAGUUAAGGAUAUUAUUAUUAUUAUUAUUAUUAUUAUUCAGUAGUUUUAUUUUUAUUUUUAUAGCGUGCUUUCACUUCACUACCGAGCACAGCUCUGUGUGCCUUGGGUAUGUGCUGUGAUUUGUUGUGAUGCUCUGAUGGUUAUUGUAUGGAAAGUGUUCUGCGUAGGAUGUGUGCAGUGCCCAGUAGUGCAAUUUUCUGUAUGUUAUAUGUGUUUGUAAGUCCUGGUGUUUUUGUUAUGUAUUUGUCUGAAUAUUUUUUUAUCAUGCCUAAUGCACCUACUAUGAUAGGAAUUGUUUCUGUUUUCAGAUUCCACAUUCUAGUUACCUCUAUUUCCAGGUCUUUGUAUUUUGAGAGUUUCUCCAUUUCUUUUAGAGACACGUUGUCAUCUGCCGGUACUGAUACAUCAAUUAGAAAGCAUUUUUUUUCUUCAUGGUCUCUGACAACUAUAUCUGGUCUGUUGGCCUUAAUUUCUCUAUCUGUGUGUAUCGGCAUAUCCCAGAGUAUGGUUGCUUUCUCGUUUUCUGUGACCUUUUCUGGUGUGUGCCUAUACCAUCCUUUUUCUGUUGUUAUUCCAUAAUGUUGGCAUAGCUUCCAAUGUAUGUAAGUUCCAACUCUGUCAUGUCUGUGAAUAUAUUCCUUCUUAGCCAGGACUGGGCAGCUAGAGAUAAUAUGAUUUAUUGUUUCUUGUCCAUCUCCACAUAUUCUGCAGUUACUUGUAAUAUUUCUUUUCAUUACAUGUUUUUGGUAAUUUCUGGUGGGGAGGCUUUGGUCUUGUGCUGCAAUUAAAAAUCCCUCUGUUUCUGCUUUGAGUCCUGAGCUUCUCAACCAUUGCUGGGAUUUUUCUUUGUCUAUUUCUUUUGCGUUUAGUUUAGUCCAGUAUUUACCAUGAAGGGGCUUUUCUUGCCAUCGUUUUAUCAUGGUUCUUUGCUGUUCUAUUUUUAGUUUGGAUUUCAUUUUUUUUAUAGCUUUUGUUGUUUCUUCAUCUUCUUCUUCUUCUUCAUGUUUAUUAGGUGGUAUGAUUUCUUGUUUGUAUUUGUCAGCUUCCUUAAAUACUGAGAACAGUUUUUUGUUUUGCUCGUGUUUUGCCGCUAUCUGGAUCAGUUUUCCUUCCUUCUGAAGUAGAUAUUUUUGCAGUCCUAUGGUGGUUAUUUUAUAGUAGUUUUCCAGCUGUAUUAGGCCUCUACCACCUUCUAUACGUUGUAUAUAUAGUCUUUCUAUGUCAGAUUUUGGGUGAUGCAUCCUAGAUCCUGUCAUUAUUUUUCUUGUUUUCCUGUCUAUUUUGGUCAGUUCAUUUCGUGUCCAGUUAAGGAUAUUGUAGCUGUAACUUAUAACUGGGACAGCUAAAGUGUUGAUACCUAUUAUCUUGUUUUUAGCAUUGAGCUCUGUGUUUAGUAUUGAUCUAACUCGUCUAUAAUAUUCUUUUUUUAUUUUCUCUUUCAUUUGUGUGUGUUGUGUCUUAUCUAGUUCAUGGAUUCCUAAGUAUUUGUAAGUUUGGCUUUGGUCUAAUUCUUUUAUUUCAUUUGCUUCAUCUAGUGUGAUGUUGUUACUCUUAACUAGUUUUCCUCUUUUCAUGGUUACUUUGGCGCAUUUUUCUAAUCCAAAUUUCAUAUCUAUUUCUUUGGUAAAUCCAUGAACUGUCUUUAAUAGUGUUUCCAGCUGUUUGUCAUUUGCAGCGUAUAGUUUUAGGUCAUCCAUAUAUAAAAGGUGGCUGAUCGUUUGGCCGUAACAUUUAUAUCCGCAUCCAGUUCUAUUUAGCAUAUCAGAUAGAGGUGACAGUGCUAAGCAGAAAAGGAGUGGAGAGAGCGUAUCUCCCUGGAAUAUUCCUCUUCUAAUGGGGAUGUCUUUUGUUUUCAUGAGUCCCUCUUUUGUUUGGAGGUGUAGGACUGUUUGCCAUUUAUUCAUAGAGUGCUCUAUGAAUUUUAUGAUUGUUGGUGCUACUUUGUUAAUGGCUAGUGUUUCGAGGAUCCAUGUGUGGGGGAUGCUAUCAAACGCCUUUUUGUAGUCAAUCCAGGCCAUACUGAGGCCUUUCUUCUUUCUGUGGCUGUCUUCAGUUAUGGCUUUAUUAAUCAUUAGUUGAUCUUUACAGCCAUAUGAGCCUUUGCGGCAUCCUUUCUGCUCUUCUGGGAACAGUUUGUUUUCGUCCAGGUGCUUGUUCAGCCUUUGUGAUAUCACUGCAGUAAAUGCCUUGAACAUAGUAGGGAGGCAGGUUAUUGGUCUGUAGUUUUCUGGUUUUUCUGUUUCAUUUGAUUUGGGAAUUAAGAUGGUUUUCCCCUUCGUGAGCCAUUCAGGCAUUGUCUCUGGCUCUGCUAGUACGUUGUUAAAGUUUUCAGCCAGCUUUUUGUGCAUUCCUGUUAGAUAUUUCAACCAGAAGUUGGGGAUCUUGUCAUGCCCAGGUGCCUUCCAGUUGCUUAGUCUUUGCAGUGCCUGGGUGACCUCUUCAGUUGUUAUGGGGGUCCAAGUUUGUUCAGAUGCCGAGUUUGUUAUUUUGAUACUCCUUUUUUUGGUGGUUCGUUCGCCGACCAUAUUUCUCCCCAGAAUUCUUCCAAUUCUUCUGCCGUUGGUGCUGCAGUGACUUCUAUUUUAUUUUUGCCCAGUUCUUGGUAGAACUUUUUGGGGUCGGAGUUGAACUUUUUGUUCUGUUCAAAGAAGCGUUGGCGUUUCUCGUACCGGCGGAUCCUUUGAGCUUUGGCAAGGAUAUCUUGCUUCAGCUUUUCUUUUAUCUCCGGCAAAUCUUUUUCUGUGGUGUUAUAUUUGCGGAGCAUUUUUGUUCUCUUUUUGUUGCUCAGUAGCGUUGCUUAUUAUUAUUAUUAUUAUUAUUAUUAUUAUUAUUAUUAUUAUUAUUAUUAUUAUUAUUAUCAUCAUUAUUAUCAUUAUUAUUAUUGUUAUUAUUAUUAUUAUUAUUAUUAUUAUUAUUAUUAUUAUUAUUAUUAUUAUUAUUAAUAUUAUUGUUGUUGUUGUUGUUGUUGUUGUUGUUAUUAUUAUCAUCAUUAUUAUUAUUAUUAUUAUUAUUAUUAUUAUUAUUAUUAUUAUUAUUAUUAUUAUUAUUAUUAUUAUUAUUAUUGUUGUUGUUGUUGUUGUUAUUAUUAUCAUCAUCAUUAUUAUUAUUAUUAUUAUUAUUAUUAUUAUUAUUAUUAUUAUUAUUAUUAUUAUUAUUAUUAUUAUCAUUAUUAUUAUUAUUAUUAUUAUUAUUAUUAUUAUUAUUAUUAUUAUUAUUAUUGUUAUUAUUAUUAUUAUCAUCAUUAUUAUUAUUAUUAUUAUUAUUAUUAUUAUUAUUAUUAUUAUUAUUAUUAUUAAUAUUAUUGUUGUUGUUGUUGUUGUUGUUGUUAUUGUUAUUAUUAUCAUCAUCAUUAUUAUUAUUAUUAUUAUUAUUAUUAGUAGUAGUAGUAGUAGUAGUAGUAGUAGUAGUAGUAGUAUUCCUUCGUAACACUGUAGGUAAAAAUGAGUAUUUAGUCAUCUGUCAAGUUACAACAAGGACGCCAAACAGAUAAUACUUUCCUUAAGAUGAGCACUGUGCCCAAUAAGGCUGCCUUUUGCAAGACAACAAUAUCGCAUGAGAUUUCUAGUUGCCUUAAGAGGUCUUGAAGUUUCAAUGGGAUUGAGCCCAACGCUCCGAGCACCACUGGUAUCACUUUUACAUUACCCUUUCGCAUUCCAUACAGUCUUGUCAUUUCCAGUGCUACUGCUGCUGCUGCUGCUGCUACUACUACUACUACUACUACUACUACUACUACUACUACUUUCGACAUAAAAUAUUGUUCAGUUGAUAACAAUGGCAGUCUUCUUUAUUUGCUUCUAUUAUUAUUAUUAUUAUUAUUAUUAUUAUUAUUAUUAUUAUUAUUAUUAUUAUUAUUAUUAUUAUUAUUAUUAUUAUUAUUAUUAUUAUUAUUAUUAUUAUUAUUAUUAUUAUUAUUAUUAUUAUCAUUAUUAUUAUUAUAAUUCAGUAGUUUUAUUUUUACAACGUGCUAUCACUUCACUACCGAGCGUAGCUCUGCGUGCCUUGGGUAUGUGUUGUGAUUUGUAGUGAUACUUUGAUGGUUACUGUAUUGAAAGUGUUCUGCGUAGGAUGUGUGCAGUGCCUAGUAGUGUAAUUUUCUGUAUGUUAUAUGUGUUUGUAAGUCCUGGUGCUUUUGUUAUGUAUUUGUCUGAAUAUUUUUUUAUCAUGCCUAGUGCACCUACUAUGAUAGGAAUUGUUUCGGUUUUUAGAUUCCACAUUCUAGUUACCUCUAUUUCCAGGUCUUCGUAUUUUGAAAGUUUCUCCAUUUCUUUUAGAGACACGUUGGCAUCUGCUGGUAUUGAUACAUCAAUUAGAAAGCAUUUUUUCUUCUUCAUUAUUAUUAUUAUUAUUAUUAUUAUUAUUAUUAUUAUUAUUAUUAUUAUCAUCAUCAUCAUCAUCAUCAUCAUCCUCAUCAUCAUCAUCAUCACCAUCAUCAUUAUUAUCAUUAUUAUUAGUAUUAUUAUUAUUAUUAUUAUUAUUAUUAUUAUUAUUAUUAUUAUUAUUACAAAUAAGGUGCGUCGGACAAUAUUCCUUGCAAAAUGUGAUACAAUUACGUUCCAAAUUCAAAUUUUGCUGAGAUCAACUUUGAAUUAACCCGUCACCCGCUCUGAACUCAUCACCUGACAAUGUUAGUAUCUUUAGCGUCACCCACUCCGCAGCACGCUUGCUAGACAGGAUUUUGGCUUGACGAACCUCUUGCCAUUGUCGGAGAUCCCGUAAAAGUUCAUGGACACUGAUUUCUCUUCUAACAAAAGGAUAAAAACGAGCAGAGUCUAUUUUCGCUGUGAGGCAAAAAUGUGAUUAUUAGAGAUAUGAUUAUAACUUUACAUAAUUAAUAUAUACGCUGUGGAAAUGACCCACUUAACACGCAUGUCCAUAUUGGUUGGCUAUAUAAAUAAAUGUGAUCUAACCUGACGAAGCCUGAAUGUUGCAUUAAGUAAGUUUUAACGUAGUCUAUCAGCAAUGAUAAUAACGUAAUCGAAUCCUGAAGAUAGUUUUAAAGAUCAUUUGUCUAUGCUACAAAUGCAAAUUAUGAUUUUAUAAAAACCCAAUAUUUGAAACGAGGCUAAAAAUAAGCUUUGAAAAAUAUUUAUAACACUAUUUCCACUAUUAAUCCCUUACAAGCUUUGCCAGUUCAACAGAUUAGUAUAUAUGUGUAUGUGUAUAUAUACAUACAUACAUACAUACAUACAUACAUACAUACAUACAUACAUACAUACAUACAUACAUACAUACAUGCAUGCAUGCAUACAUACAUACAUAUAUAUAUAUAUAUAUAUAUGUAUAUAUAUGUGUGUGUUUAUAGUCAAGCUAUGAAAGUCCACAACAUCAAUACGUUCUUCGUUUCUUCUGUGUCAUACUUCUUCUGAACCCUACACAGUUUGGAUUGACUACAACUAUAUGUAAGUGUAACUGUUUGUGUUUGUGUGCGUGCGUGUGCGAACGUGGGCGUGUGUAUGCAUGUCUGUUAUUUAAAAAAUAUAUAUAUCUAUACCUGUAUCCUCGGAUGUGUGUGCAUGUGUUUAUCCUCAUUUAUAUAUUUAUGCACAUUCACCCACACUCAGAUAUCUCUAUUUAUAUAGGAAUACAUAAUGGAUAUAUGUAUACAUAUAUAUAUAUAUAUAUAUAUAUGCUUGAGAAAUGUCUUACAAAAUUGCAUAUAUAUAUUUACACACAGAGAAGAAGUAUAUAUAUAUGUAAGUAAAUAUGUAUGCGUAUAUAUAUAUAUAUAUAUAUAUAUAUAUAUAUAUAUAUAUGAAUAUGUAUAUAAUUUAUUUUUAUACAUGUUUAUAUGUGUAUGUACGUAUUAGUGUAAAUGUCUCUAUGUAUUUAAAUACGAGAGUGGAUUAGACGGAAAGAAAAAAUAAACAAGAAAAAAUAAAAAAGCAUUCGUCGGUCGACAAAUGGAGACAUUUCAGCUUGAUAAUAGGAUUAUAUAUGUAGCUGUUGUGUGUGUAUGUGUGUGUGUGAGCGUGUGUAAGCAUGUGUAGUUCUUUUAUACAUUAUAAAUAUAUGUAUGUAUAUAUUUAUAUGUAUAUAUAUAUAUAUACAUAUAUAUGCAUAUAUAGGUAAAUGUGUAUGUGUGUAUGUGCGAGUGUGUUUGUGCAUAUAUAAUUUUUGUGCGUGGAUGGGCAUUUGUGCAUGAAUAUGUAAGAAAGCAUAAUUACAUACAUGCAUAUAUAAAUAUAUAUAUAUAUAUAUAUAUAUAUAUAUUUAUAUAUAUAAAUAUAUAUAUAUAUAUAUAUAUAUAUAUUUAUAUAUGGUUAUAUACACACAAAUAUAUAUACACACACAUAUAUGCUAUGCACAUAUGCGCAUAUAAACGCAUAUACAUACAUAUGGUUAUGCAUAUAUAAACAUAUAUGCUUACAUACACAUGCACACACGUCGUGCCUUUUGUAUAUGAACAUGUGCACACACACACACACACACACACACACACAUACGCAUGCAUUUAUAUCUUGCUGUCUAUUUUGAUAUUGUGUUUGUAUUUGUGUAUCGAUAUACUUACGUAUGCAUAUAUAUAUAUAUAUGUAUGUGUGAAUGUGAGUGCGUGCGCGCAUGUGUGUGUGUGUGUGUGUGUGUGUGUGUGUGUGUUUAUGUGCGCUCGUGUUUGUACGUGAAAGAGAAUAAAGAUCGAACGAGAGAUUCAGGAUUUCCUGACUGGCUCAAUGAUAAAAAGCGACGUGACUGUGUGGGGUGGUGAUGGUGGGAAGGGUACGAGGGACCAGGGAAUAAGCGAAUUCGUCAUUCAUGCAGCAGCAGCAGCGGCAACAAUAGUAGUAGUAGUAGUAGUAGUAGUAGUAGUAGUAGUGGUAGUAGACAUGAUAUAAAAUUGUGGUGGUGGUGUUGGUGUUGUUUUUGGUUUUGGUAGUUGGCGUAAUAAUAGUAGCAGUAAUCGCCGCUGCUACCUGUUGAUACGUAGGGUUGUGCGAAGUGUUUGGUAUAAGGUUUUCAGGAAUGAUACCCAAUAAUGUAGAGGACACCAAAACACCAGAAGUCGUUGAAGACGAUAGUCAGGUUUCUUCUCCAGGGAAGAAGGAAUAAAUGUCGUAUGUGAAGAAGAAUCAGUGAAAAAUUGUCGAGUCUAUAAGGACUAGAGAGUUCCAUGGAUUGGUGACUGGAUUUUUGCCAGUAAGGUGGAUUCCCUUCUUUGGAAUACAAUGGAAUAUAAGUUGAAAUAUAUAGAUAUACAGCAUUAUCUGCAUUCAAUCGUUUAUCUUUUAUUUUUUGUUUCCAGUCAUUUAGACUUUGGCCAUGGUGAAACACAACAUUGAAGAAUUUUAGUUGAACGAAUCGGCUUCAGGACUUAUUCUUUAAAGCCUGGUAUUUAUUCUAUCACUCCUUUUGCCGAACCGCUAAGUUACGAGGACAUAGUGGUGGACAAAAACAGACUCAAAUACACACGCACACACACAUAAUAUAUAUGACGGGCCUACUUUCAGUUUCCGUCUACCAAAUCCAUUCACGAGGCUUUGGUAGGCUGGAGGCUAUAGUAGCAGACACUAAUCCAAAUGCAACGCAGUAGGACUGAACCCGGAACCAUACGUAAACUUCUUACAACACAUCCACGCCUAUGAGUAAGUUUGUAACAUUAAUUGUACUCAAUGUAUAGUUAUGAAACAUCUCUUGUAAGUAUGCAAAUAUGUAAGUAUGCAGCACUAUCUGUGUUCAGUACAGGUUUCAUCGAAAUCUUUUUUAGACUAUCAAUAACAAAUCAUGUGUGAAUCUCUUUGAAUUCAAAGGUAAAGCAAAGUCUGUUUUGAACUGAAGUCGGUUUUGUGUUGUUAUUUAUGUGAGGGCUUUUGGAGAAAGCAUCAAAUAUUGUGAGAUGCAACAUUUUGUGACAUAUUAGUUUAUAUAGUUGGUUGCUGCAGUGCGCUGUUACUUAUUUUAUUGGUUGUAGCGAUGUUACAGAAUUUAUUUUUAAUUGUUCUGGGCUGUACACCCCUGCGAUUUGUCCAUGCCCGUUGUGUUCCUUGGACGGAUUUCGUGGCAUGCUCAACGAGGGGAAGCCCCCAUAUGUUAGCCCAAAACUCUUCUAUUUCUUGAAAGAAGAAAAUAUUUUAAGUGUAAUCUUACAUUGUCAGUGAUCUUUAGAACCCUCUUGCAGACCAGCCAAUUUUGAAGGAGAGAGAAAGGGCGAAGGAGUAGAGACAGAAGAAUCGGCUGCAUUACAUAACUGGUGUCUUAUUUAUCAACCUUAAAGGGUAUUCGAACUCAGAAGAAGAGAAUGCCAGGAGAAUUAUUAAAAGGUUUAUGUCUGGUGCACCAACGAUUCUGUCUUUGAAGAAUGCUAGACUGAAAUGUUUUCUUUGAAAGAUGUUCCCAGAAUUUUUGUUAAUGGAAUAUGUGUAGAUCUGAUGCGAGGAAUCUGGAUUGUGUGACAGUGAUGUCAUAUACUUUGGCGGUAACGAUUAAUUUUAGCAACAGAAACUUUAAGUAUUGACUUUAGUGUUUGUUUAGUGUUUGGCUGCGAACCAGCCAAUAGGGAAGAAAUCUUCCUAGUAGAAUUAGGAUCAAAGACAUAAUUUCAGAGCUUAUAAAAAGGACGACGUACACCAAAUAUUGAGUGUGUGUGUGGAGGGACAAUAAGGUAUGGUUGAAUGGGGACAGCAACGUAUAAUGUAGCUGGUACGAGUGGGUGCUGGAAACUUCAUGGCUUUGGAUAAAAGAAAAUAUAGGAGGAUCAGUUAAAUAUGAUUUUAUUCGAUAUAUUCCUCUCUCAGAUUCACACACUUAUUGCAGCAGCCCUUCAGUUUUUCUAAGUCCUGUAAAAAAACUUGGGUGGUUGGGCCUCUAACCAGGCCUUUCGCGACACCCUUAAAGCCAGGAACAUUUCAGCACCCCUCGUAUUUCUAGCAAGAUGGCUAUUUAUUCUUUCGCCUUCAUUGACUGUAAAUUAGGAUGAUUAUGAUGAGUUCAAUAUUCGCCGCGGUGGAUGUUAUUUUUCCUCCGCCCAAGGUCGAUAAUGUAAAUGCCAGUGAUACAUAGAAAUAAAAUAUAUUGGUAAUAUCGUUUCUUAAGAAAACUUGACUUUCUGUAGUUAAAAGGAACUCACACACGCACGCACACGCACACACGUAUGUAUGUACGAAUAUAUGUUUGUGCGUGUGCGUGUGCGCGCGCGCACUUUUAUGUGUAUAUAUGCGUAAAUACAAGUACAUACAUCCAUAAAUAUAUAUAUACACAACACACAUAUGAACACAAAUGGACCACAGACAUAGACACACACUCAUGUGUACAUGUGACAAUGUGUUUGUGUGUAUGAAAUGUCUGUAUGUACCGUAUAAAAUCAAUAAUACUAACACUGCCAAAAGUGACAAGAUGAAUAUUGCAGCCACAACCUACACAUUAACAUACCGUCGCCAUUACUAAUUUCCAAGUCAGGAAGAAGAAAAAAAAAAAGCAGAAAUGGCGACAUGACCAGGAUGUUGAACCGAAAGAUGAAAGGCAAGUUCGAUCUGUUUGUCUUUGAAAUUCACGGCUCUUCUAUCAAAACUUAAUGACUGACACCUCCCAACUAACACGAACUACGACAACAUAAAAUCAACAAAAAAAACAAUAAUAAUAACAGCCGUUGGUCAACAAGAACAAGAACAAGAACAAUAACAAAAACAACAACAGCGAAGGCAACGACCACGACGAUAUAGACUGCGGUGAUGAUGAUAAAUACUUAAAAUGUCUUGAAAUUAUCUCCCAUGUUUUAUCUUUAACUUGUUUCAGUUGCUGGAUUGCGGCAGCACUGAGG
rnacentral:lncRNA from 1 species